rnacentral:rRNA from 3 species
UGGGCCUCAAAUAAUGUGUGACUACCCCCUAAA